CAUAGGCAUCAUGGGGAGCUGGAUGAGUCUGGCUGAGAGGGAAUUCCCACUGAUAUUCCGACCCAUUGUACCUGAUCUGGGUAAUGCCAGCGUAGGGAGGUGUACCAAGCGUGCA
rnacentral:ncRNA from 2 species